CCCCCCCGCCGGUGCUUCGGGUGGUUCGCCCCGCGGCCCGGCCCGGCCUCUGAGGGGGGCCACGGCCGCCAUUUUGUGCGGCGCCAGCGGAGGGCGGCGGGGCGGUGCGCGGCUGAGGGCUCCCGGAGACGCCGCUCCCUUCGUGCCCGUGACUCCCAGCGAAGAUGUCGGAGUAUAUCCGGGUCACGGAGGAUGAGAACGACGAGCCCAUCGAGAUCCCCUCGGAGGACGACGGCACCGUCCUGCUGUCCACGGUGACGGCCCAGUUCCCCGGGGCGUGCGGGCUGCGCUACAGGAACCCGGUGUCGCAGUGCAUGAGGGGCGUCCGGCUGGUCGAGGGGAUACUGCACGCCCCGGAGGCGGGCUGGGGAAACCUGGUCUAUGUUGUUAAUUAUCCCAAAGAUAAUAAGAGAAAAAUGGAUGAAACAGAUGCAUCGUCAGCCGUGAAAGUAAAACGAGCAGUACAGAAGACUUCAGAUUUGAUAGUCCUAGGUUUACCCUGGAAAACCACUGAGCAAGACUUAAAGGAAUACUUCAGUACAUUUGGAGAAGUUCUCAUGGUGCAGGUUAAGAAGGAUAUUAAAACUGGUCACUCAAAAGGUUUUGGUUUCGUUCGGUUUACGGAUUAUGAAACCCAGGUGAAAGUAAUGUCUCAGCGACACAUGAUAGAUGGAAGAUGGUGUGACUGUAAGCUUCCCAAUUCGAAGCAAAGUCCUGACGAACCUUUGCGCAGCAGAAAAGUGUUCGUUGGGCGCUGCACUGAGGACAUGACAGCAGAUGAACUCCGGCAGUUCUUUGCUCAGUACGGAGAAGUGGUAGAUGUCUUCAUUCCUAAACCCUUCCGAGCUUUUGCUUUUGUUACAUUUGCAGAUGAUCAGGUUGCCCAAUCUCUUUGUGGAGAGGACUUGAUCAUUAAAGGAAUCAGCGUACAUAUAUCCAAUGCUGAACCUAAGCACAAUAGCAAUAGACAGUUAGAGAGAGGUGGAAGAUUUGGUGGUAAUCCAGGAGGCUUUGGGAACCAGGGGGGGUUUGGCAACAGCAGGGGAGGCGGGGGAGGGCUGGGUAACAACCAGGGCAGUAACAUGGGAGGGGGAAUGAACUUCGGAGCCUUUAGCAUCAACCCUGCCAUGAUGGCAGCAGCACAGGCAGCCCUGCAGAGCAGCUGGGGAAUGAUGGGCAUGCUGGCCAGCCAGCAGAACCAGUCAGGGCCAUCGGGAAACAACCAGCCUCAAGGCAACAUGCAGCGGGAGCAGAACCAGGGGUUUAGUUCAGGAAAUAACUCUUACGGUGGUUCCAACUCGGGAGCAGCAAUAGGCUGGGGCUCAGCCUCGAACGCGGGCUCCAGCAGUGGGUUUAACGGAGGCUUUGGUUCAAGCAUGGAUUCCAAAUCGUCAGGCUGGGGAAUGUAGACGCAGUGGGCUCUGAUACUGACUCUAUGGUGGGAAGUCAAAUUUUUCUAACUCAUGUUCAUCUCAUUUCAAAUGUGUAUGGAAGAAGCACUUCAUUGAAAGCAGUGCUGUAAAUAUUCUGCCUUAGGAAUACUUCUGUCUACAUGCUUUCUCAUCCAAGAAUACUUCAUCACACUGCACAUGCUGCGUCUUAGACGGUGGGUGUUCCAUUUUUAUCCGCUACUCUUUAUUUCAUGGAGUCGUAUCAACGCUAUGAACGCAAGGCUGUGAGAUGGAACCAGAAGGCUGUUUGAACUUUUGAAACCUUGUGUGGGAUUGAUGGUGGUGCCGAGGCAUGAGAGGGCUGGUAUGUGCGAGAUAAAGGAGAGAGCGCAUGCAGAGACCUGGUGGUGCAUUAUGGGAUUUUAUUUUACUUGGCGAGAUGUCUCUCAAUCCUGUGGCUUUGGUGAGAGAGUGUGCAGAGAGCAAUGAUAGCAAAUAAAGUACGAGUGUUUAUUGCAUUCAAAGGACAUCCAUAUGUGGAAGACUUUAAGUGGGUUUUAUACCUAGUUAAUCAAUUAGUUGAAUGUGUUUAUGUGAAACGAAUAUUUGUAUUUUUUUUCCUUAUGUCAACUGCUGUGAAUGCUGUAUGGUGUGUGUUUUUUUUUCUGUUAAUGAUUUGUAAGUGUGGUAACGUGAAUUGAAGAUGAUGGGGUUUGCGAUGAGAACAUUGAGCUUGUGGUGUGCUUUGCAGUAGCUCAUGCAGCAGAGAUCACUAGCGAGCUCAGUGUGCCUCUUCAGGGUGGAAGCUCCACUGUGUAAGAUAUCCAUAAGAAUGCUGUUUGCUGCAGUUUCGUGUUUGGAUGCUUUUUAUAAGAUUUGUCACUGUAGGAAAUUCUUAAAUAAAACUGAUUUAAGUAAUAUGUGUCUUUGUUUUGCAGCCCUGAAUGCAAAGAAUUCAUAGCGGUUAAUUAUUUUUACCCUUUUGAGAUGAACUUCUGUAAAGUUUUUUUUUUUGCAGUAAUUCGGUUUGUUUCAGAUAAGCAUACUCUAAAAGUUGACAAGUCAAACGGAGCCACCACUCAUCAUGUAUCGAUACCUGACACCCAACCUUAACCCAUUGUAUUUUUGCAUUGUUCAGUGAUGUGUAUAUAUCUAAAAUCCAGUUCCCACAAGUUUGGGUGUCUGCACCUAGAAUGGUAAGCAGUUCCCUCCAGAUUGCAUCUAUACCAAGGAAAGUUACUUAUUUUUUCAGGAGUUGGAGUUGGGGGGGAGUUUCAUCAGAAGGGUGACUGGCGGGGGGGGGGAACAAACACUGUCAGCUGUAUUUCUGUCCGUGGCAUCUCCUUAGGGGAUGUAGGCUUCUAACCUGUAUUUUUAAACCAGCCCAAUUGAUGGAAAGUAGGGUUCUGCAACACUUCUAGCUCAGAAGAAAGCUCUAAAUUCAUUUUUAAAACUAGGCACAGAAGAGACUUUCCAGCUGAAUAAAGCAUUAGUUGAAUGUAUGUGGAUUUUGUCAGAAGUCUUAUCUGGAAAACAAUGUUUACUACAAGUGCAAAAGCGCAAGCACAAGGAGCAGCUUCUUAACAAAAAGCAGGAUGUUUCAGGGGAAGUUGUUGGAAAAUUAUUUCCACGGGCGGUAGGAGCUUGAGGAAUUGUUUAACCUACCUGCACUUGAAGCCCAUUGAAGCUUGAUCCAUAUUCUUAUACACUGUACUACUGCGCUGUAGCUAUGCAAGGUCCGAGUAUGGAUUUACUCGGGUUUUUAACCUCUAACUUUUCAACUUAUAUCACAAUUACUGAAUAUUAUACUGAGGUUUGUGAAUAGAAGACCAGCUAAACAGUUGAUAAAACUGCACUACUGUUAGUUUUCCACUUGAACUGCAGUAUUAAAUCAUCUAGGUUUCAAUGUACAUUUUAAAGGGGGGUUGGCAAACACUCAGGCUGAAAAUUAGUCCCGGGCUUGUUGUUCAUAUCCCACUGCAAAAAGUUGCUUAGAUAUUUUUUUUCCUGCACCUAAGUCAGAAUAAUCUCCAAACUCUGUACCAUUGUGAAUUUUGCAUUUUAGCACUUGCACUAUUACCAGCUACUUCUGCUGAGUAACACUUAAAAAUGGUAUUCUUGGACCUCCAAAGACUAACUGUGACAGCUCUGCAAGGAACUGUAUGGUAAGUUUUUGUGAUUAGCAUGGCUUUAAUUUUGUUUAAUUUGUUUAAGUCCAGGUCUAGGUUUUAGCAGGCGGGUUGGCAGCAUUGAGUCUUUGCUAUUAAUUUUAGCCUUCCCUGACCCUCAAACAAAACAAAGUUUUAGAAGAAUUUUCAAGUUUUAGUAAUAUUUUCUAACUGCUUUGCAUACUCAAGUAUUUAUAAGUGAGUAAAUAAAAUGCUACUGCUAU